GUAUCAGCCACUUUCAAUCCAGGAAGUGAACAGUCAGUCGAGACAUGGAGGCACACUUUCAACCAGAGAAUUAAACUAAACUAGGCUGCUGUUUUCACUCUUAUUAACUAAACAAGUUCCAGAUUAAAAGGCCAUGGAUGUAAAGUUUACUGCCCUGGCUUACUGCCAUCUGGCCCUUUUGUUCAGUGUGGCCCAAACAGAAAAUGGGACUAGCACUCCUCAACCAACCUUUAGCUUAACAACCCUUACGACACUAACUCAGUCUGACUCUACUUCACCAAUCUCAAAUUUGACUGAGGAGACAACACUAUAUACCAGCACACAGUUGGAUAACAAAACUUUCGUUAGCACCACUGCGGCAACAACCGAGAGGACAAGUCACCACCAGACUUCUCAGUCAGCAACCACCUUGACUCCUCUAACAAAUAGUACUCUGAGGACUACGAGCUCUAGCACUCAAAUGUCAACAUUUACUGCACAAACAACGGCAGCAAUCCAGACCACAGUAGAUAACUCAAGUACACCAAGUACUCCAGUAAUUACAACUGAAAAUGCAACUCAUACUACCAUGAACAGAACCAGACAAGAUGUGGGCCUCAAUGUCUCUGAAAGGAAUAUGACUAUUGUCUUCAGCACUGUACUUGGAGCAUUUGCUGUGUUGUUGUUUUUUCUUAUGUUUCACAAAUGCAAACAGAAAAUACAGUACUUGCACCAACCUCUCAAUAAUGCACAAUACACAGAUACAUUUGUGGCAGAUGAUGACACACUCGUUAUUUCUGGAGGACUUUAUGAUGGCCAUCCAAUCUACGACAAUGUACCAACAGCUCCCGCAGACCAGUCUCAAUUCCACCUUGAGUUUCUCCAUUAAAGACACAGAAUUUCUAUAGUCUGAAAUCUACAGUUUAGGAGUGGAUAGAACCAAUGUACUAAACUAAUGUAACCAAUAUACUUUCAAGACUGAAAUAUAACUCCUAUGAUGGUCUUUAUAAGAGAAAAGUGGUCCUUAGUAAAGGAAAAUGAGAAUAGGUAGGACAUGCAAACAAGUACAAAACUGAUUUUUGAGAACAUUGCUUUUACUUGUACAACACCAGAAUACAUAAAUAUAUUAACAGAGUAACUUGUAACAACUAGAAAUUGUCAAAGAUCAGCAACAUAACCUUGUGAUAGAACAUAUUAGAUUUCAUGUUAACAUUAAAGAUGAGUUAUUCCAAAGAUUAGCACAACAGCAAAGUAAUAAAUAACACAUUGACUCUAGUAGGUAAAUUUAAUCCUAAACACCCAUAAAUAAACUUACUAAAAGCUGGCAUCUUAACACCAAAACCUUCUUCUCAUUGACACUAUGUUUUAGUUGAACCAUAGAAACAUAUUCAAUUCAUGUUUUUGUGUUAUUUUUAGUCUAUUUGUUAUUCAGUCAAUCGUGUAUAAUUUAUUCAUUCUCAAUAGAACUGUAUUUCAAGUCACCCACCUCUACCAAUAUUGUUAUUACUGCUAAUCUGACCUAACAGCCAAACUUAGGCAAAAAUCUUCUCAUUGGUCUUCUUCUUUUUUUUGUCACAGCCAGUAACAGCUGUCCAACCAGCAUCUCUCAUUCUUUUCAUUGCGGCCAGCUUUAAGGAGUUUCCUGGUGAUUUAUGAAUGAGUGGGCUCUGAUUCUGUAAAAAUAACACACACAUACACACACAUAGGGAUUUUUAAAAAUCAAAGUAAGUAUAUUAUAUGCCACUUUGUUGGAUCAUAAAGGCACAUUACCUUUUUGAGAAUGUGGAGUUUACAUUGCGAAUCUGAACUUUUACGUGCAGGUACAUUUGUAAAGGUCUAUCAACACAAGAAACAAAAGAAUACACAUUAAUCUGUCCUAGCGAAUUUGCAGAAAUGGUAAAAUCACAUUCACAUAACCUGCAAGGUUUAUGGCAUUAUUUUUUUUUAAAUAUUAACAAGCCCCCACCCCCCAACCCAAAAAAACAAAAACAAAAAAACAUUGCUUACCAAGAGAUCAUUUUGAUCUGAGCUGUCAGACUUGGGGUCGAGUUCAAUGGCGCUCUUUCCCCACUGUGCUGACUUUUCAGAAGGGGGAGUCCUUAUUCUGUAGGACUAUAGGGGAGUAAAUGUCAGUGAAUAUAUUCAUAUUUUUUCAAUUUUGGAAAAUGUCAGAAUAUAUUACUUUGAUCUUUGUUGUUCCGGCAGUAUGGUUUGUAAGACUUCUUGGGGUUUUCAUGUCUUCACUGUUGAUGCACUAAAAUUCAAAGUCAGUGCAAGUCUUAUAAUCAUUUAUCAUAAAACUUAAAGUAAAUAAAAGCAUAUCAAUACAUGAAUUAUGUUAUAAUUUAUUCUGUCACUAUAGCCAUUUUUAUAUAUCUACUUUAUGAAUAGGUUAAAUUGCAGUCUACCUUGGAUUUUGGUGUUCCACAUGAUGCUCUGAUAAAUUCAGUGGCAGAUUCCUUAACAACAAUUCAAACAAAGUUGCUUUAGAAAAAGGCUGUGGUAAUAAGGUUACAUUGUACUGCUUUACAUUCACACGCAAAGUUUUGCGGUCGUUUCCUACAGCUAUAGGCAAUUAUUAGCAGAGUCUUCCAUGUGAACUGACUAAGAGUAUCUGGCGCCAGUAUUCUCAGGCCCUAUAAAAGCUGCUAGCUUACUAAUCUCUGAGAGAUGCUCUCCAUGAAUUUAAAUGUUUUCUCCAAUGAGUAACACCCAUGCUCAUAUUCACACUGCUAUUCUUGUUAAUUAAUGGUUUCUAAAUAAAUCAACUCUGGUGCAUUUUUAGUUCCCAUGGCACAUUUGAGACUCUCAUUCGAACAUAUGAAUAUAUACCUUUUUUUACUCAUACACAACAAAUACAUUUAAAAUCCCUUUUCUUUCUCUAAAUAAAAUCCAGGUGAAUAAUAAACAUUAUGAAUAGCUAUAGGGCUACAAACUGAAAGGCUAAAACGCCAUGUCCACCAAAAAAACCAAACCAAAAAAUGGCAAUUAAAAUCUUCGCAAAUAUUAUGGAAAAAUAAUAAAUGAAUCUAUUUGUCCGAUUUGAUCCACCAAUCCCUUAAAACCAAAUAUUGUCUGAUCCUGACUCAGCUGGAUGUUGUUCUGUUUUUGUCUUUACCUAUAGCCUGGUACCAUGGAUUAUUUUUCUAAUAAAUACCAGUUCAGCAAAUUCAAUUGGGGUUGUAUUUAUUUUUCAUAAUACCCAAAACCAAGGAUGUACUAUAUCUGAAGUAGAAAAGGCUAUUUUGAGAAAUCUGUAGUUAUAAAAACCUUAAUCAUCUGAUUUUCUAAGCUUAUCUUAAACAAAAAUGUCUGAAACAUUAAUCUGUUGAAAACAUUUUGGUCGAUAAAACUCACAUCUGUUGUACGAGUGGCCAAACUCUGACCAUCUUUGCUGUAGGAGGAAGUUUUCUUGGCCUUGAAGAAGUCAAAUGUGUGACUCUUUGAAGAGUUCUCUUUUGGAACCUCUGAACUUUUCCUUUGUUUAUAGUUUGAGGCAGCUACCUGUAGUAGUACACAUACAAUUUUGGGUCAACUAAAAGUAAUGACAAAGAAUGCCAUCUAGUGGCAGCCUAUGAGCUGCAUGCACUGUACCUGUUUGUCGCUCCCUUGUGACAGCAGAGUGCUUUUCACAACAGACAUUUCCUGCUU